rnacentral:rRNA from 1 species
UACGGGGGGGGCAAGCGUUGUUCGGAAUUACUGGGCGUAAAGGGCUCGUAGGUGGCCAACUAAGUCAGACGUGAAAUCCCUCGGCUUAACCGGGGAACUGCGUCUGAUACUGGAUGGCUUGAGUUUGGGAGAGGGACGCGGAAUUCCAGGUGUAGCGGUGAAAUGCGUAGAUAUCUGGAGGAACACCGGUGGCGAAGGCGGCGUCCUGGACCAAUACUGACACUGAGUGAGCGAAAGCCAGGGGAGCAAACGGGG